UGGGGAAUUUUGGACAAUGGGGGCAACCCUGAUCCAGCCAUUCCGCGUGAGUGAAGAAGGCCUUCGGGUUGUAAAGCUCUUUCGGCAGGAACGAAACGGCGAGCUCUAACAUAGCUUGCUAAUGACGGUACCUGAAGAAGAAGCACCGGCUAACUACGUGCCAGCAGCCGCGGUAAUACGUAGGGUGCGAGCGUUAAUCGGAAUUACUGGGCGUAAAGCGUGCGCAGGCGGUUAUGUAAGACAGAUGUGAAAUCCCCGGGCUCAACCUGGGACCUGCAUUUGUGACUGCAUAGCUAGAGUACGGCAGAGGGGGAUGGAAUUCCGCGUGUAGCAGUGAAAUGCGUAGAUAUGCGGAGGAACACCGAUGGCGAAGGCAAUCCCCUGGGCCUGCACUGACGCUCAUGCACGAAAGCGUGGGGAGCAAACA
rnacentral:rRNA from 1 species